UACGUAGGGUGCAAGCGUUGUCCGGAAUUAUUGGGCGUAAAGGGCUCGUAGGCGGUCCAUCGCGUCGGGAGUGAAAAGCUGGGGCUUAACCCCAGUCCUGCUUCCGAUACGGGUGGACUAGAGGUAUGCAGGGGAGAACGGAAUUCCUGGUGUAGCGGUGAAAUGCGUAGAUAUCUGGAGGAACACCGGUGGCGAAGGCGGCAUCCUGGACCGGCAUUGACGCUGAGGCGCGAAAGCUAGGGGAGCAAACGGG
rnacentral:rRNA from 1 species